rnacentral:piRNA from 1 species
UAGGUGACAAGCGAUAGACUCAGGAUC